UAUCCGCCUGGGGACUACGAGCAUCAGCUUAAAACCCAAAGGACUUGGCGGUGCUUUAGAUCCACCUAGAGGAGCCUGUUCUAGAACCGAUAAUCCCCGUUAAACCUCACCUUUCCUUGUCUUAUCCGCCUAUAUACCGCCGUCGUCAGCUUACUCUGUGAAGAACAAGCAGUAAGCACAAUUGGUACAACCCAAAACGCCAGGUCGAGGUGUAGCGUAUGGAAAGGGAAGAAAUGGGCUACAUUCAAUAAUUAUAAUGAAUACGAAUGAUACACUGAAAAAAUAUCUGAAGGAGGAUUUAGUAGUAAGCAGAGAAUAGAGUGCUCUCCUGAAUUUGGCCCUGAAGCGCGUACACACCGCCCGUCACUCUCCCCGAGCUAAAAUUUAUAUAUUACUAAUCAACCAUAACUGCAAAGGGGAGGCAAGUCGUAACAUGGUAAGCGUACCGGAAGGUGCGCUUGGAAAAACCUCAGAGCAUAGUUAAACCGCAUAACGCUUCCCCUACACUGAAGUAUUACUCGUGAAAAUCGGGUGGCUCUGAAGCCCUAUAGCUAGCCUAACCCCCUAAAACCAACAGACCAAUAUUUAAUGUACCCUAAUGCAUUAAGCAACAUAAAACAAACCAUUUUUCCCUCUUAGUAUGGGAGACAGAAAAGAGACUGUAGCGCAAUAGACAAAGUACCGCAAGGGAAAGCUGAAAGAGAAAUG
rnacentral:rRNA from 1 species